rnacentral:snRNA from 1 species
UCCAACACUGCAGACACAUCCAAGUGAGGCGCUGCAUGGGGCAGUCUGCCAUUCUUU